UUUUAAUAGUUUAACAAAAACAUUGGUCUUGUAAAUCAAAAAUAAAAAUACUUUUUUUAAAACU
rnacentral:tRNA from 1 species